UGACAGUACUCCUACGGGGAGGCAGCAGUGGGGGAAUAUUGCACAAUGGGCGCAAGCCUGAUGCAGCCAUGCCGCGUGUGUGAAGAAGGCCUUCGGGUUGUUAAAGCACUUUCAGUCGUGAGGAAGGUAGUGUAGGUUAAUAGCUGCAGUAUUUGACGUUAGCGACAGAAGAAGCACCGGCUAACUCCGUGCCAGCAGCCGCGGUAAUACGGAGGGUGCGAGCGUUAAUCGGAAUUACUGGGCGUAAAGCGCAUGCAGGUGGUUUGUUAAGUUCAGAUGUGAAAGCCCGGGGCGUCAACCUCGGAAUAGCAUUUGAAACUGGCAGACUAGAGUACUGUAGAGGGGGGUAGGAAUUUCAGGUGUAGCGGUGAAAUGCGUAGAGAUCUGAAGGAAUACCGGUGGCGAAGGCGGCCCCCUCGGACAGAUACUGACACUCAGAUGCGAAAGCGUGGGGAGCAAACAGGAUUAGAUACCCUGGUAG
rnacentral:rRNA from 1 species